CAGCAGUGGGGAAUAUUGGACAAUGGGCGGAAGCCUGAUCCAGCCAUGCCGCGUGUGUGAUGACGGCCUUAGGGUUGUAAAGCACUUUCGCCGAUGAAGAUAAUGACUGUAGUCGGAGAAGAAGCCCCGGCUAACUUCGUGCCAGCAGCCGCGGUAAUACGAAGGGGGCUAGCGUUGUUCGGAAUUACUGGGCGUAAAGCGUACGUAGGCGGAUCGUUAAGUUAGGGGUGAAAUCCCGAGGCUCAACCUCGGAACUGCCUCUGAUACUGGCGAUCUUGAGUCCGGGAGAGGUGAGUGGAACUCCUAGUGUAGAGGUGAAAUUCGUAGAUAUUAGGAAGAACACCAGUGGCGAAGGCGGCUCACUGGCCCGGAACUGACGCUGAGGUACGAAAGCGUGGGGAGCAAACAGGAUUAGA
rnacentral:rRNA from 1 species